rfam:Nomascus leucogenys chromosome 20, whole genome shotgun sequence.
UCAAAGGUUUUUUUAAAAUCCACUUAAAUUAUUAGGAUGAAUUUCU